rnacentral:rRNA from 1 species
GUGUCAGCCGCCGCGGUAAUACGAAUGGGGCAAGCGUUGCUCGGAAUCACUGGGUGUAAAGGGUGUGUAGGCGGGGCUGUAAGUCAGAGGUGAAAUCCCACGGCUCAACCGUGGAACUGCCUUUGAUACUGCAGCUCUUGAGUCCCGGAGAGGUGGCUGGAAUUCGUGGUGUAGCGGUGAAAUGCGUAGAUAUCACGAGGAACACCAGAGGUGUAGACGGGUCACUGGACGGGUACUGACGCUGAGGCACGAAAGCGUGGGGAGCAAACAGGAUUAGAUACCCUGGUAGUCCACGCCGUAAACGAUGGAUGCUCGAUGCUGCGGCGUUUUUGCUGCAGUGUCCAAGCUAACGCAUUAAGCAUCCCACCUGGGGAGUACGCUCGCAAGAGUGAAACUCAAAUGAAUUGACGGGG